rnacentral:rRNA from 1 species
AGAGUUUGAUCCUGGCUCAGGAUGAACGCUAGCGGCAGGCUUAAUACAUGCAAGUCGAGGGGCAGCACGAAUAGCAAUAUUUGGUGGCGACCGGCAAACGGGUGCGGAACACGUACGCAACCUUCCCAAAACAGGUGAAUAGCCCUCCGAAAGGAGGAUUAAUACACCGUACCAUAAUAGCGUGGCAUCACAUUAUUAUUAUAGGCAGCAAUGUCGGUUUUGGAUGGGCGUGCGCCUGAUUAGGUAGUUGGUGCGGGUAACGGCCCACCAAGCCUCCGAUCAGUAACUGGUGUGAGAGCACGACCAGUCACACGGGCACUGAGACACGGGCCCGACUCCUACGGGAGGCAGCAGUAAGGAAUAUUGGUCAAUGGACGAGAGUCUGAACCAGCCAUGCCGCGUGAAGGAUGAAGGCCCUCUGGGUUGUAAACUUCUUUUAUCUGGGACGAAAAAAGGGAAUUCUUUCUCACUUGACGGUACCAGAGGAAUAAGCACCGGCUAACUCCGUGCCAGCAGCCGCGGUAAUACGGAGGGUGCAAGCGUUAUCCGGAUUUACUGGGUUUAAAGGGUGCGUAGGUGGGUAGGUAAGUCAGUGGUGAAAUCUUCAAGCUUAACUUGGAAACUGCCAUUGAUACUAUUUAUCUUGAAUACUUUGGAGGUAAGCGGAAUAUGUCAUGUAGCGGUGAAAUGCUUAGAUAUGACAUAGAAACAACCAAUUUGCGAAGGCAGUUACUACACAGUUUAUUGACCACUGAGGCACGAAAGC